GAGUACUACAUCGGAACGUCUUCCAAUCACGGAGCUGGUGUCCUCGUGGAUGUCUGGGGUGGUCACUUCGAAGAUGGAAGCAGGGCGAAUGGAGAAUGGACCCAGAGGGACUGCCUACCAAUCUCCUUCACAAGUUACAAACCUAAUGAAGGAUAUUUCAUCUGGAAGCACUACGACUACACCCUCGGAAUCUCAGAUCCCAUGGUGUUCAUCCCUCCAAAGGAAUGUCUG